CACAGAUUACUCUGGUUUGUUGUUAAUUUUGUAUUGUGGUGAUGCUGAUGGUUGCACCAUUAGUAAUUUUGAUGUUUUAUAUAUAUAUAUCAAUUUGUGACUUGUCAUUUGCAUAGAUGUAACUACAGUUCAGUUGACUUCAUAUGAUAUACCAGGCAAUGCAUGCAGCUUGGUUAUAGCACUGACCUGCAUUUAAGUCUGUCUAGCUCUAUUACAAAGGUUCUACUUGCUAUUUUGGAGAUGUUAGUUCUUACAAUGUUUCAUUCUUAUAUAUUAGUCAAAUGCUAUGGUUGAUAUAAUCUUAAAUUCAUCUGUUGUUUUUCUGCAUCUAAUCAGUGUUGGUUUUUAAGACUGAUUUCAUAUCAUCGAAUUGGAACUUGUAUAAGUCUUCAUUCAAGUGAGCAGGGUUUAUAAUAUUCUUUUCACAACAACCAGGAUUUGAAUCCAUCUAUCGGAUGGGUAUUAUUAUGUCAGUCUGGGUUUGAAGGGUGACUAUCAUGUGAGAAAGAGUAUGUUUAUUUUGUACAUAGAAUUUCAAUUUGGCUUUCUAUUUAUGAUAUUCAUUGCAUAAUUUUCAAGAGAUGUUUUUAGAUCUAUACUUUCAAGAAAAACACAGCUUCAUCAGUAAUUGCACAUCCAAACUGACGGUAAUUGGAUUUUUUAUAGGUACAAAUGGGCAAAUACUAUAUGGUAUUUGUCGACAGAGUGCCUGGAAUUUAUGAGAAUUUGGGAGCUUGCUCGGGCACAAGUAGAGGGAUACAGUGGGUCAAGACACCAAUCAUUUAAAUCGUAGGCAUCGGCUAUGACAGAGUGGAUGAAAUUCAAGGCCACUCAACAUCAUGUUGGAUCUUCAACCAAUCCAGUUACUCCAAUCUGGGCGUCAGCAAUCAGGACCGAAGGCCUCACCAGAAGAGUCGAAAGUGAGUCUGCUUCGUUUCAUCGUUUGCCUUCAAGACUUGAAGAUGAAGUUGGGAUGCACCUUCUUUAUGAGCUCAACUCGGAAGAAAAUGGGGUUGAUACAGAAGGAGGGAUUAUGCAUGCCAUUUUCAAGAUGAUUAUUGGAGUGAUGCUCAUAUACGCAGUGAUAUCUUGGUUUGUUUCAUCGCUUUGAUGAUAACAAUGUUUUACAAUUGCUUCGCUGGAUGACUGGGGCAUAGAACACAUAAUCGUUCGGACUCAGAAAAAAGCCUUUUUGGGUUUAACUUGUUCAUAACAUUUU